UUCUUUCCAAAAUCGUCCUAGCAAGAAGAAGAUCUAAAGCAAUUGUGUGUGGCUUUGCCUCUAAUUUUGGAGUAUAAUAUUAGUAUUGUAUUAUACUCAGAAUUAUUUUCGGUUAAGGUCCCUAAGCAAUCACUUCGUGGAAAAGGAAGUGAUCGAGCAAUGACAACCAGGAGUUGGGCUUGGAAGCAACCAUCCUUUGAAGAAAGCAUAAUAGCUCAUUGGUCUAGCUCCAUGACACCGAAAAUGUAUCAGGGCUCAAGUGAUUUACCGAAGCGACGAGACCUUAAAAGCUGCUUUUUCAAGUGUCAGUAGCGGAACAUUCUGUUAAUCGGGGAAGGUUUUUGGUGACAAGACGUGGAGAUAUCAUAAAUG
rnacentral:ncRNA from 1 species